UUUCGCGUGUCGCGGGGACUCGAUGGAAAAAGAAAGUAGGACGGAUGUCCGUCUGUCGCGGAAAGCCCGCGGGAUUGAAUCGCACUCGCGCGUCGGCGGUGUCAAUUCAAAGCGACGUAAUCUCCGCUCAGCGCGGGCCAAUAAUCGGCUUAUUGAUUUUGAUUCGCGCCCGCUUAUGCAUGUAUAUAUACGCAUAAACGCUCAUAGAGAUGCCGCGGCGAGCGAGAGACAGAGAGAGAGAGAGGAAGAGAGAGAGAGAGAGAGAGAGAGAGAGAGAGAGGGAGGGAGAAACCGCGCGCAAGCAAAUACUGACUCUGCGAAAAUUAACCCCACUGCAUCGGAGAUUCUCGGCUUCCGAGAGAAUUUUCGUUUAUGUUAAAACAAAGGAAAGAUGUUGAGGAAUGACCGCUUGCUCAUGACGAGUUACCGAAGCACCUGUCUAUUUUCCAGAAACUAUUUUUCGCCAUCCAAGUUUAAGCGCUACCAGAUGUCGACCAUAUAAUCAGCACGUUUUACCGGGGAUACGACCAUGUAGGGGUUGCGGAUAAUGGGAUGCAUUAUGGAACUUCAUGAUCCACCCUGGCUGCAUCUAGCGGAUCGGUUAUCACUUUGGAAGCUUAACCAAGGAUCCGUGCAAAUUGAGCGCCCGUAUCCGUCCCGUCUUAAGGUGGUACUUCGUGUAUCGGCCUCUUUGAGAUUCUGGAAUUUGCGCUCUGCGGGGUGUGAGAGCAAGCGGAUAAGUGGAUAUACCCUGACUUAAUCGAUUAUCCAUCCUGCCGUGCGACGAACGCAUCCUCCCGGGAUAUUUGCGACACGCUGAUAUGUUUACCCAUACACACAAUAUGGCGUUUUAGAUUUAAAUUUAGUUUUUUCACAACCACAUCUCUCCGACACGCAGCCUCGAUUUAGAACGCUGUUAGCGAUUAAAAUAUUUUUCUCGCAGUUUCCUUUUUUUCUCCUUUUUACAUUUUUGAUUCACUGAGUUAUCGCAAACUAUGUACAAUGCGAAUAAUAGAAUUACGGUGUAACAUUGAUAAGCUUUUAAUUAUUUUGUGUCAUAUCGAGAUAUUAAGUGGCGCAG